UCUAGUCUGGCACGGUGAAGAGACAUGAGAGGUGUAGAAUAAGUGGGAGGCCCCCGGCGCCCGGCUCCGUCCUCGCGUCGGGGUCGGGGCACGCCGGCCUCGCGGGCCGCCGGUGAAAUACCACUACUCUCAUCGUUUUUUCACUGACCCGGUGAGGCGGGGGGGGGGGGCGAGCCCAGAGGGGCUCUCGCUUCUGGCGCCAAGCGCCCGUCCCGCGCGUUAGAUGCAGA
rnacentral:ncRNA from 1 species